CCUACGGGUGGCAGCAGUGAGGAAUAUUGGUCAAUGGACGCAAGUCUGAACCAGCCAUGCCGCGUGCAGGAAGACGGCUCUAUGAGUUGUAAACUGCUUUUGUACGAGGGUAAACGGAGAUACGCGUAUCUGUUUGAAAGUAUCGUACGAAUAAGGAUCGGCUAACUCCGUGCCAGCAGCCGCGGUAAUACGGAGGAUUCAAGCGUUAUCCGGAUUUAUUGGGUUUAAAGGGUGCGUAGGCGGUCGGAUAAGUUAGCGGUGAAAUCCCGAGGCUCAACUUUGGAAUUGCCUGUGAAACUGUGCGGCUAGAGAGUAGUUGCGGUAGGCGGAAUGUGUGGUGUAGCGGUGAAAUGCUUAGAGAUCAUACAGAACACCGAUUGCGAAGGCAGCUUACCAAGCUACGUCUGACGUUGAGGCACGAAAGCGUGGGGAGCAAACAGGAUUAGAUACCCGUGUAGUC
rnacentral:rRNA from 1 species